rnacentral:rRNA from 1 species
UACAGAGGUCCCAAGCGUUGUUCGGAUUCAUUGGGCGUAAAGGGUGUGUAGGUGGCGCCGUAAGUCGGGUGUGAAAUCUCCGGGCUUAACUCGGAAAGGUCAACUGAUACUGUGCGACUAGAGUGCAGAAGGGGCAACUGGAAUUCUCGGUGUAGCGGUGAAAUGCGUAGAUAUCGAGAGGAACACCUGCGGCGAAGGCGGGUGCUGGGCUGACACUGACGCUGAGGCGCGAAAGCGUGGGGAGCGAACAGG